rnacentral:tRNA from 2 species
GCGCCUGUAGCUCAGAGGAUAGAGCUGGGGGUUCCUAACCCCUGUGCCGCAGGUUCGAGUCCUGCCAGGCGCA